rnacentral:rRNA from 1 species
GGGGAAUAUUGAGCAAUGGGGGGAACCAUGACGCAGCAACGCCGCGUGAAGGAAGAAGGCCGUUUGGGUUGUAAACUUUUGUCGACAGGGAAGAAGACAGUGACGGUACCUUGUGAGGAAGCCACGGCUAACUACGUGCCAGCAGCCGCGGUAAUACGUAGGUGGCAAGCGUUGUCCGGAUUUACUGGGUGUAAAGGGCGCGUAGGCGGGGCAGCAAGUCAGUAGUGAAAUACCGGAGCUUAACUCCGGGGCUGCGAUUGAAACUGUCGCUUCUUGAGUGUCGGAGAGGAAAGCGGAAUUCCUAGUGUAGCGGUGAAAUGCGUAGAUAUUAGGAGGAACACCAGUGGCGAAGGCGGCUUUAUGGACGAUAACUGACGCUGAGGCGUGAAAGGGUGGGGAGCAAACAGGAUUAGAUACCCUGGUAGUCCACACCGUAAACGAUGGAUAGUAGGUGUAGGAGGUA